rnacentral:lncRNA from 1 species
GUGUCACUGAGAUGAACCAACUGGGGCGAAGUCGAGCGAAGUCACACACACACCAAAGUAGCCAAGCAGAGUGGUUUUUGUUGCCUUCCAUCAAUAGUUAAACCUUUUUAAAAUGAGAGAAAUCGUUCAUCUUCAAGCCGGACAGUGCGGCAACCAAAUAGGAGCGAAGGUAAGUUUGCGAAUGGCAAUGUAACAAAUUUUGUACAAUUAGAAUUUCGAAUUCUCAGACAUUUCGAAAUGUCUUAACAAAAUUAUUUGCUUUCUUGUAAAUAUAUAGUUUUGGGAGGUUAUUUCAGACGAACACGGCGUAGAUCCUACAGGAUCAUAUCAAGGCGACUCAGAUUUACAACUCGAAAGAAUAAAUGUAUAUUACAACGAAGCGUCGGGUGAGUUAUCUGCAUUUUUGUGUUGAAACACCUUGUCCUUGACAAAAAUUUUCCAAAUAAUUAUUCGAUAUUGCUAUUCAAAUUUUCUAACCGCCUGUCGAUUUUUGCCUAUAUUUAGGCGGGAAAUAUGUCCCCAGAGCUUGUUUGGUCGAUUUGGAACCGGGAACGAUGGAUUCGGUCCGCUCCGGACCAUUUGGACAAAUUUUCAAACCAGAUAAUUUUGUAUUCGGUAAGUGUUUUUACAAGGAGAUUUUGAGUUUAAAAACCGACAGCUGUCAGCUGAUAUUUACAUUGCACGUGUUAUCUUCGUUUGUUCAUGUCUGUAUUUUGUGGUUUUAGGGCAAAGUGGGGCUGGAAACAAUUGGGCUAAGGGACAUUACACAGAAGGAGCUGAAUUAAUAGACUCUGUUCUUGAUGUGGUUCGAAAAGAAGCUGAAGGCUGUGAUUGCCUGCAAGGUUUUCAACUAACACAUUCUCUUGGAGGUGGUACUGGCUCUGGAAUGGGCACCUUGCUUAUUUCAAAAAUCCGCGAAGAAUAUCCCGACAGAAUAAUGUGCACGUAUAGUGUUGUACCCUCGCCUAAAGUUUCAGACACAGUUGUUGAACCAUACAAUGCCACCCUCUCAGUACAUCAACUUGUUGAAAACACAGAUGAAACCUAUUGUAUUGAUAAUGAAGCUUUAUAUGACAUCUGUUUCCGAACCCUGAAAUUGACCACGCCCACAUAUGGUGACUUAAAUCAUCUUGUUUCGGCUACAAUGAGCGGUGUUACAACCUGCCUAAGAUUCCCUGGUCAGGUAAGUGUUAACAGGAAUGCGUAAACAGAAUUUCUUCCAUGCAGUAAGCUUGUACAUGUUAUAUGUAUAGAACAUAAAUAAUGAAAUUGUAACUAAGAUAAUAUAUUUAAAGCUGUGAUGUUUUCUCAAUAGUUGAAUGCAGAUUUGCGAAAAUUGGCUGUCAACAUGGUACCUUUCCCUCGUCUUCACUUCUUCAUGCCUGGCUUUGCCCCACUCACCAGCCGUGGUUCAUCCCAGUACCGUGCACUAACUGUGCCAGAACUCACCCAACAAAUGUUCGACGCCAAAAACAUGAUGGCAGCAUGUGAUCCCCGUCAUGGUCGAUAUCUGACUGUUGCUGCAAUGUUCCGUGGCCGCAUGUCCAUGAAGGAAGUUGAUGAACAAAUGUUGAACGUCCAGAACAAGAACAGCUCGUACUUUGUGGAAUGGAUCCCCAACAAUGUGAAGACUGCAGUCUGUGAUAUCCCACCCAGAGGUUUAAAGAUGUCUGGUACCUUCAUCGGUAACAGCACCGCCAUUCAAGAAUUGUUCAAACGAAUCAGCGAGCAGUUCACUGCUAUGUUCCGUCGCAAAGCUUUCUUGCAUUGGUACACUGGAGAAGGCAUGGAUGAAAUGGAGUUCACUGAGGUAAAUAUGUGUUUAAUUUAAAAAUCAAAUUUUUGAAAAGUACUCUCUUGAGUUCCAUUACCUCUACUGGCAGAGUGUUGGGCUGCUAUAACAACGAGGUCAUGCAAGCCCUGUGGGAUUUGAUAAUUUUCCUUACGUUUACAGUAACAGUCACUAAUACAGUCUUGAUUUCCUUUUUGUUUUUUUUGUUGCUGCCUGUUUUCACACUGUUGUUUUCCUAGGCUGAAUCAAACAUGAAUGACUUGGUUUCUGAAUAUCAACAAUAUCAAGAAGCGACAGCUGAGGAAGAGGGAGAAUUUGAAGAGGAGGAAGAAGAAGAUGAUGAAGCAGCCUAAAUUAAAAAAAUAGAACUUUUGGUUCAAUUUGAAAAUGGGCAAUAAAGGGAAUAAUAAAUUGAAAAGUUGUAAAUAUUAUUUUUGCACUAGCACAAAUGUGCUCAAGUGAUAUUUAUCAACAUAGUGAAUAAAUCUCAAGAUUUCUCAAAUGUAGCUUACUUUACUGUAUUUGUUCAGGAGCUCAGGCCUAAGUUUUCAAACUUCCCAAAACUUCCCAAAACUACACACAUAAAAAUUUCA